UUUUUGCCAGACAUCCAAGAUACAUUUCAGUUUGAGACCUCUCUGCUCUCUCGCUAGAUGGAUGUCCUGAGGCAGAAGGGUGCUAUCCUCUGGCUUUCUCACAUCAGGAAUGUCCACUUCAGAACUAGGAGAAGAGAGGCAACAGGUCUCACAGGUGCCACUGAACUACAUCUGUGCACUUCUUUUGCAGAAGAGGUCGUAUUUACAAGGAGCCAUCUCGUGAGGAUUUAUCAAUAAUUAAGCGUGACAGGGCACUGCAUAAAAACACCUGAGAAUGGAUGCAAACAAUGUACUGGGGAGAGCGACAAUAAAACAGG
rnacentral:lncRNA from 1 species